GUCGAGAAUCUUUCACAAUGGGGGCAACCCUGAUGGAGCGACGCCGCGUGGAGGAUAAGGUCUUCGGAUUGUAAACUCCUGUCAUGCGUGAACAAGGUUGCUUGGUUAAUACCUGGGCAAAUUGAUGGUAACGCAAGAGGAAGAGACGGCUAACUCUGUGCCAGCAGCCGCGGUAAUACAGAGGUCUCAAGCGUUGUUCGGAAUCACUGGGCGUAAAGGGUGCGUAGGUGGCGUGGUAAGUCAGAUGUGAAAGCCCGGGGCUCAACCUCGGAACUGCAUCCGAUACUGCCAUGCUAGAGUACUGGAGAGGUGACUAGAAUUCUCGGUGUAGCAGUGAAAUGCGUAGAUAUCGAGAGGAAUACCAAAGGCGUAGGCAGGUCACUGGACAGUUACUGACACUGAGGUACGAAGGCCAGGGAAGCGAACGGGAUUAGAUACCCCUGUAGUCC
rnacentral:rRNA from 1 species